rnacentral:rRNA from 1 species
UACAGAGGGGGCAAGCGUUAUUCGGAAUUAUUGGGCGUAAAGGGCGCGUAGGCGGCUUGGCAAGUGGAUGGUGAAAUCCCUCGGCUUAACCGAGGAACUGCCGUCCAAACUGCUUCGCUUGAGACCGGGAGAGGUGAGUGGAAUUCCCAGUGUAGCGGUGAAAUGCGCAGAUAUCGGGAAGAACACCCGUGGCGAAGGCGGUUCUCUGGGACGGUACUGACGCUGAGACGCGAAAGCGUGGGGAGCGAACAGG